GGAAGGUGCAAGCGUUACCCGGAAUCAUUGGGCGUAAAGCGUCCGCAGGCUGUUUGUUAAGUUGGGUGUUAAAUUUUGCAGCUCAACUGCAAAACUAUAUCCAAAACUAGCAAACUUGAGUAUUGCAGAGGUACGUGGAAUUCUGUGUGUAGGGGUAAAAUCCGUAGAUACACAAAAGAACACCAAAAGCGAAGGCAGCGUACUGAGCAAUUACUGACGCUCAGGGACGAAAACGUGGGUAGCGAACGGGAUUAGAUACCCCGGGUAGUCCACGCCGUAAACGAUGGAUACUAGGUGUUGGGAGACUCGACCCCUCUCAGUGCCGACGCUAACGCAUUAAGUAUCCCGCCUGGGGAGUACGGUCGCAAGAUUA
rnacentral:rRNA from 1 species